UCACGUUUGGCAACAUAAGAGCAUCCGCAUUAACGGAUUUAAAAGGGUUCAUGGCACGAGUUUUUAGGGCUGUAUUGAUAAAAGAAAAUGAAAAAUACGUUUAAUUCGGUGAACCGAUCCUUAGGCGUGAACCCGAAGGAGGGGAGUUCAAACCACGUGUCAUGUUCUCAGUCGCCUGUUCCUUACCCGUCGGAGAAGCUUCUCGGUGAGGAGCCUUUGGAGGAGACUGUUAGCUCUGAGCGGGAUAGUAUCUCCGUCACCGUUCGUUUUCAACCUUUAAGAACAUCGCCAUGUUGGUUCAAAUAAUUUCAGUUUGAGAAUCUGAAUGCUGUAAGAGUGUAAGGAGAUCGUUUAUGCGAAUGUCUGAUUAUAAGGAUAUAAAUUUAGUCACUUGUACGGUCUCCACCAGCUGUAUGAUUUGAGGGUUUAUGUAAGAAGAUUAUUGUUCUUUAGUUCUGCUGAAUUUUAUUGGCUCUGGUUCUAUAGGGUUCGUUUGAGCUUCCACGGGGUCAAUCUUCUAGAGAAGGAGAUGUGGAACUUGGUGAACAAGGAGCAGAUCAAGGAUUAGAUGAUUUCUUCAAAAAGGUUAUCUAAGCUAUUAAAAAAACAAAGUUUUGUUAUAUUACUUCACCAGCUGCUCUACCUAAGUGUGUUUUCCUUCCGUUUCUUAUUAGGUUCAAGAGAUUGAUAAACAAUAUGAAAAGCUUAAUAAGCUUCUAAAGAAACUUCAGGCUGCACAUGAGGAGUCCAAGGCGGUAACCAAAGCUCCCGCCAUGAAGGUGUGUAAUGAACAGCAAUAAAGAAGAAAAUGGAAAAGGACGUUGAUGAAGUCAGAAGUAUUGCUCGUUUCAUUAAGGGUAAACUCGAGGAGCUGGACAGAGAGAACUUGGCAAAUAGCUUACAGAAGAACUCAAGAAAAUGGAUGUGUAUUGCAAUCAUCAUCCUUCUCAUUGUUGUUGCUGUGAUCGUUGUUGGCGUUCUCAAGCCUUGGAAAGACAAGAAGGCUUAGAGGAAUACAAGAAUCUGUAAACAACAACAAAGAACCAUCCUUACAUACUGCUUGUAUCGAGUUGAGUGUUUGUGAAUUGUGUGAAGUAUACGACUAUAUGUAAACAAAGAACCAUCUGUAAACAAUAACAAAGAA